UGGGAUUUGUGGUCCGAAGGACAUAUUCAGUGCAAGGUCCUCUUUACUUGAUGCAUAUAGACACAAACCAUAAACUAAUAAGAUUUGGCCUGGUGAUAUUCGGAGGGAUAGAUGGGUACUCAAGAAAGAUCAUGUACCUGGGUGCUGCUGCCAACAACAGAGCAUCAACUGCACUUGCUUUCUUCUUGGAGGCUGUACAAAAGUAUGGGUUUUCAUUGAGGUAAAAUCUACACAAAAUUAAUUUUCACAAUGACUGUGCAA